GGGCUGAUUGGUGCGUUUACAAUCCUUUAGCUGGACAGAAAAGUUCUCCAAGUAACCACCGGUUCCGGAAGCCCAGCGGGCUUCACUGCUCCCUGGUGCUGGUGCGUGGGAGUUUGCGGCGUUUAGCCAGGGCGCUCCCGCAGCCAAGAGAGCGCUGGUCCCCUGUUGGAGUCCAGCAGGCACCCCUCCGGCUGCUCUGAGGAGGGCCCGCCGAGCCUGCGCUCACCCGGAACCACUCCUGUCCGCCAGCGCCCCAGCUCCCGCCCACGCCUCCCCCCAACACCUCCGGGCCAGCAGAGGGAGCGGACUCCGGCCUCGGCCAGCCCCAGCGAAGGGCCCCCGCAGCGCAGAGGCGGGCUGAAGGGCUCCUUGAGCGCGGCCAGACCGGACACCAAGACUGAGGAGGCGCCGAGAACCAGCAAGGGCUGCUGGUACGUUGUCACCCCUCAAGAGGACAUGAAGACGCUGGUAGCUUGGAGGAACACAGGCAUGACAGAGACCCAGAGGACCGUAUGGAGGUCUUUGGGACUAAUGAUGGCGUGGAGGCCAAAUGAGACAGGGGAGCCCAGAGACAAUCUGGUGGCAGAAGCUUUCCCAUACUGCCCCCAACCUGGCCAGUGAACCUUCCAAGGGCCUCGUUCAAACAACUUCCUCAAGCGGUGUCGGCUUAGAAGACAACGGAAGCUGACCUCACCAGGGAGCUUCCUCAGCAGCCUGCAGGGCACAGGAGGCACAGGCUGCAGCCAGGAGCACUGGGCACCUGCGGCCCACGCCCCUCCAAGGCCCCUCACGCUCACCUCACAAAGCUCUGCCUACCUCUGCUCCACGGCUUUAGUGACAUCACGGCUGUGAUCUCCUCUCCCACAUCAGCCCCAGGCCCUGGGCUGGCAUCCUGGGUCCAGAUAUUAUAUGGAGCCUUAAAGCCUCCUGGAGUGAGAGCUAGUUCAUAACCACACUGUUUGGAGAGAAGAGAACUAGCUGGAAUUCUUGUUCUCCAAAGAUGUGGAAUUAUCAUCCCAACAACAGCCGUCCCUCACUCUGUCCUGAGGACCCUCAGGUGGAGAGAGGAGGGGAUCCCAUUGCCUGUGAGGAGGACACGGCUCCUGGGUGGGCCCUGCAGAUUGUGAAGUUCAAGUCACAGCUCCUGGGAAGGUCUCUGUGUGUCAAGAUCGUGGGGGUGAGACAGAUGCAGGGACCACACUGUGCCCUGCUCUGUACCUCUGAGUGUUGAUCCAGCUGCCUUGUGACCAGGACACUUAGAAGAACCAUAGAUCCUGCAAGAGGGCAGGUUUGGAGAGUGAGAUGAGCACGCCUGAGGGAUUAAAGUGUAACUUGAACCA